UCACCAUCUCUUUCCUCCUGAGUCUGGGUGCUCCAAGCCGGUUCCAAGCGAGACGGGGCCGCUAUGCAGACGACGCUGGGCGAGGCGGCGGCGAUCUCCGGCCAGAUCCGGUCGGGGAGGCGAGGCAGGGGCCGGAUCCUGUUCCGGGGACGGCGUGGAGUCGAUCUACGAGGCACGGGAGGAGGUCAGGCGGUGGGGCUUGAACUCCAGCGGGCCCCCUUUUGAUGGACGGGGCCGCCCACAUCGCCAGCGACUCCCCGGAGGCCGACAGGGCCUCCUCCUCCGCAUCCUCUACCGGCUCGGCCUCCUGGCGCUCCCGGCCGCACAAGUUGAUUCACCUGCGGCGGCGCCGGCGACCGUUGUCCGCUCGGAGAGGAGAGGGCGGCGAAGCCGACGGCAAGGGCGACGGUGACGACGUGCAGGACCUCGCUCUGCCGCUGGGGAGAUGUCCUUCGCGGCGGUUCUCGCCCAGGUGAGCGUCUCCUCGGGUUUGGCCACUGCUCUUGUUCCUUAAUUGGUAGGCGGCCCAAAGAUUUGAUUUUUACGCCCCUCGUGCGGUUCUGUGGAUUAGUGCCUUGCUUCAUGGUCCCUCGAUUGCUAAUUGAACGACGGCCGGCAGCUAGCUGAUGUGGUGGCCGGUCUCUGGCUCGCGAGCGUCGUGGUGCUCGAAAACUCAAAUCCCUCGAGUGGUGAAAACUCCGCAUCAUGGACGACAGGUCGAGCGCCCGCGGCAGCCAGCCGUCAUACAACCCAUGCGGAAGAAGACGAUUGUGUUUCCGUGGUUGGUGAAGGGGCUGGUGUCAUCGUGCCUGUCAGCGUAGUUGUUGUUCUGAGAAUUUCCAUGAUAAGCAAGCAGUGAAUCUGUCUUGGCUGCAGAUAAAAACUGUUGCAGCGGUAUAUGGAUUCGAAGUGAUGAGUGCCCAUGAUUAUGUUGUAGUACAUGCCUUUGGAAAACCAUGGCCAGUGUUGUUUCCACCGAACCGGGUCCUCUCUCCGCUGUUCCGAUCUAAUGUCGACUGCGUGCUGUUGGCUUCCCGUGCACAAGGUCCUACCGGCGGCAUUGGGCACCACGUGGGAAGCGGAAGGAGGAGCCGCAACUCUCCAUGCAAGCUCGGGUCAAUGUCAUCGCAAGUUCCGUGCUCGACGUUGCUGUUCAAUCUCGCCUCAGCUGAUUUCGCCCGCCGUCCGCCCAAUGCUCCACACUUCGCCGUAACUCAAUCUGCCGGUUCUCCGCUUGAGGUUAUCAUAUGACAGAACGUCUGGGGUGAAAGCUAAGCUACUUCCAAUGGUCCCAAAUGAGAAGGCAAGAAGGUAUCAGCUGUAUGAGAAGACCCCCGCCCAUUCCAUUCUCUAUGAAGUCAAAAGUUUCCCACUGAAUAUAUUUGGUACUAAAACGGUCGUUAUGUCAGCACCACGAUCGCGUGCCUAUUGUUGGCUCUUAAUUCUUUAGGAUUAUUUGAUUUGUUUGAUUCAUUCUGUUCAUAUUUAUGCAGCAACAAAAUACAUUCAAGAUCAGGGUGUGUGAGGGUUAAACAUGUUCAUUUAUGUGGCAUCAAGCUAUGUAUGUUGAUAGCAUGAUCUCCUUUUCUUUUGCUUUGCAGAAUUAUUCUCGACACUGGAGAUAUAUGCUAAUCCUCUAGCUUUGCUAAUUUUAUCUUUUGAUUUCAUUUCAGUGGUGUAGUAUUGCACCUCAUUCACAGUUGUAGAUGUGUGUCAAGAUAUCAAAUCAUCCGUCUUUUAGGUCAACGGCAUGCCCAUCGUGGUACACCCCUAGAUUUAAAUGACUCUAAAGUCCAUGGUCCACCUAAUAAAGAUAGAAAUAAUUAUGUUGGUAAGGUGGGUUAAACCCAACUUAAGCUCACACUGUUUUUAUGUUCUCUUACACCUGCAGGUAUUAUUAAACAAUAUCCUAACUGAAUAUCAAACACAUUGCUGGCUACAUGAUAUGUAAAGUAAAAUGUAUGUUGCUACUAAAAUUUAUAUCCGAAUGAUGGUGGCCAUUAUCUAUUUUUAAGCAAACAUAUCUCCCAAGUUUGACAAAGGUUUCCUUCA